ACAAAAAAAAAGAGAAAUUCUAGAGACCUAAGAAAAGUCCAAGGGAGGUGAACCUUGGAACAUACACUCUCUCUUUCUUCAUUUUCCAAAACCAGCAAUUCUCUCUGUUACCCCCCCUUCUCCCCUUAGCCCCACUUUUUUGGUAUUCACUGAACCCAUCCUUACUUUUAAACUUCCUCUCCUUCUUCUCUCUCUCUCUCUCUGUCUUUGUAGCUUAGCUCUCUCUAUGUUAAUUAUAAUGAAUGUUGAUAUUAAAAAAGGAGGAAAAUGAAAACAUAUUCCUGUGUUUGUGGUGUAGUUGUUGUUCACUUGUUCUAGUUGUACAUUUAAUACUUACAAAUACGGUGGAACAGCCUUAAAAAAGCCAUCAAUUUUUUCAAACUCAUUCUUGGAACAACUUCAUUCCUUUCUUUCUCUUUCUCACUUUCCUCAUUCCUUCCUUGCAAACUUCUUAUCCUUUUUAAAUGCCCUUCUCUUUAAUUUGUUUUUUGUUUUUUGGUGCUGUAAAUCCUUCUUAUUGUCUUCCCUUUGGCUUUACCAUUUCUUCAAAGAAAGAAAAACAUCAAGCUUGAUUCUUGUCUGAUGCUAUUAAAAAAGAAGAUUGAGCUUACGUUUUGAGAUGCAAAAACUGCUCAAAGAUUUCAGCUUGAAGUUGUCUUCUCAUUCUUCUAAUCUUCACCUUCAGACUCUGCAACAUUACAUUGGAUUAUUGAGGAUGACGUUUCCUGGUUCAGCUGCUGCGUUCUCAAGUUGAAGUCUAGACAGAUAUAACUAGAAAUACACAGUAUUGAUAAGUUUUUUGUAGUGUGCCAUCUCUCUAAUGGAGGUUUGAAUCUCUUUAUUCUUCUGGUUUUUGGGUUAAAAUCCUGCUCACAUUUCUAGUAUUUGAUGCUGUAAAUUCCAGUUCGAGAUCUAUAAAGAUACACAAAGUUGUAGCGUA